UGGGGAAGAAAUCAGGGGGGUGGGUCUGACCCAGUCCCAGAUGCCGUGCAGGAGAAGAACCAACUCAGGACAUCUGAAUACCUGGUCCUGCAACCCUUAUGAGAAAAGUCCUUAAUCACAUGAGUAGCCCAACUGAAAUCAGUGGAACUACUUGGGCAUGAGGACUACUCCUACUUUUUUGCAUCAGAGCUGAAAGAAAAUGCAGAAAAGCAUUGCGUCACCUUUGGACUUCAGCUUGACAAGAUGCAUUUAUUUCAAUGACAACUACAUGUGGUUAUUCUGAAGAAAGGCAG